GAUGAAGAACGUAGCGAAAUGCGAUAAGUAAUGUGAAUUGCAGAAUUCAGUGAAUCAUCGAAUCUUUGAACGCACCUUGCACCCUUUGGUAUUCCGAAGGGUAUGCUCGUUUGAGUGUCAUUGUACUCUCACACUUCCGAUCGUUUGGAUCGGGAGCGGUGGACUUGGGUGUUGCUGCUUUACUGUGGCUCACCUUAAAUGCAUUAGUGCACCUUUCGGUUGGACAUAGUACGGCGUGAUAAGUGUUCUUCGCCGGUGCCUCGCAAAGAGGGUGGCCGAUCGGGAUGUUGUGCUCCAAACCGUCUUCGGACAAUCUCUGACGACUUGACCUCAAAUCGAGUAAGACUACCCGCUGAACUUAAGCAUAUCAAUAAGCGGAGGA
rnacentral:misc_RNA from 1 species